UAGGGAAUAUUGCGCAAUGGGCGAAAGCCUGACGCAGCAACGCCGUGUGUAGGAUGAAGCAUCUAGGUGCGUAAACUACUGUCAGCAGGGAAUAAAUUGACUGUACCUGCAGAGGAAGCACCGGCUAACUUCGUGCCAGCAGCCGCGGUAAUACGAAGGUGGCAAGCGUUGUUCGGAUUUACUGGGCGUACAGGGAGCGUAGGCGGUUGGGUAAGCCCUCCGUGAAAUCUCCGGGCCUAACCCGGAAAGUGCGGAGGGGACUGCUCGGCUAGAGGAUGGGAGAGGAGCGCGGAAUUCCCGGUGUAGCGGUGAAAUGCGUAGAGAUCGGGAGGAAGGCCGGUGGCGAAGGCGGCGCUCUGGAACAUAUCUGACGCUGAGGCUCGAAAGCGUGGGGAGCAAACAGGAUUAGAUACCCCGGUAGUCCCUGAGCGGGCUGGCAAGGCGCAU
rnacentral:rRNA from 1 species